CAGUAGGGAAUAUUGCUUAAUGGGCGCAAGCCUGAAGCAGCAACGCCGCGUGUGCGAUGACGGCCUUCGGGUUGUAAAGCACUUUUAGGGUGGGAAGAGGAAGGACGGUACCAUCUGAAUAAGCCUCGGCUAACUACGUGCCAGCAGCCGCGGUGAAACGUAGGAGGCGAGCGUUAUCCGGAUUUACUGGGUGUAAAGCGCGUGCAGGCGGUUCGUUAAGUUGGAUGUGAAAGCUCCCGGCUCAACUGGGAGAGGUCGUACAAGACUGGCGGACUGGAGUGUGGUAGGGGAAGGUGGAAUUCCGGGUGUAGUGGUGAAAUGCGUAGAUAUCCGGAGGAACACCAGUGGCGAAGGCGGCCUUCUAGACCACAACUGACGCUCAGACGCGAAAGCUAGGGUAGCAAACGGGAUUAGAGACCCCGGUAGUCCUAGCCGUAAACGAUGUGAACUUGGCGGCGGUUGGGUAAAACCGAUCGGUGCCGAAGCAAACGCGAUAAGUUCACCACCUGGGGACUACGGCCGCAAGGUUA
rnacentral:rRNA from 1 species